UCCAUCAUCCAGAGCUGGGAACAACUCAUUGUUUUGUGAGUCACAAGUAAAUCUUGAGUCUUUGCAUUCAAGUCCCAAGUCAAGACGGACAAGUCCAAGUCGAGAUGAGCAGACAGAUGAUGUGACUUAUACUGAAGUUACUGUGGUCAGUAAAGACAGAGCCAAAAAGAACAAGGUUUGCUGUGAUGAUAAAGUGACUUACGCUUCCAUCGGAGGAGCAAAAGCUGAAGACUGCAGUCAACUUUACGCUUCUGUGAACAAGAACCAUCACAAAUCAGGAAAAUAAUCAUACAAUAAUCAGAAUGAGCUUUAUUUCCAGGUAUGUUUACACAUACAAAGAAUUUGUUUUAGAGACAGAAGCUUCACAGUGCAACAUGACAGGAUGACAGUGAAAAAACAGGACACAGAUAAUAAUAAGAAGAAGAAUAUACAAACAUACAAAAUAGACAAUGUACUAAAUAGCUAAAACAAAAUAUGUAAUACAGACAAUUAUGUAUGUACAGUUAAAUGUGUUAAAUAAAUUGUAUACUAUUGUAUACUAGUGUUGUGUGUUCCACAGUUAUUAUCAAGAGUUCAUUAGAU